rnacentral:rRNA from 1 species
AUUGAACGCUGGCGGCAGGCCUAACACAUGCAAGUCGAGCGGAUGAAGGGAGCUUGCUCCUGGAUUCAGCGGCGGACGGGUGAGUAAUGCCUAGGAAUCUGCCUGGUAGUGGGGGAUAACGUCCGGAAACGGGCGCUAAUACCGCAUACGUCCUGAGGGAGAAAGUGGGGGAUCUUGGGACCUCCGGCUAUCAAAUAAGCCUAGGUCGGAUUAGCUAGUUGGUGGGGUAAAGGCCUACCAAGGCGACGAUCCGUAACUGGUCUGAGAGGAUGAUCAGUCACACUGGAACUGAGACACGGUCCAGACUCCUACGGGAGGCAGCAGUGGGGAAUAUUGGACAAUGGGCGAAAGCCUGAUCCAGCCAUGCCGCGUGUGUGAAGAAGGUCUUCGGAUUGUAAAGCACUUUAAGUUGGGAGGAAGGGCAGUAAGUUAAUACCUUGCUGUUUUGACGUUACCAACAGAAUAAGCACCGGCUAACUUCGUG